AGCGCACGCAGGCGGUCUGUCAAGUCGGAUGUGAAAUCCCCGGGCUCAACUUGGGAACUGCAUUCGAAACUGGCAGGCUGGAGUCUUGUAGAGGGGGGUAGAAUUCCAGGUGUAGCGGUGAAAUGCGUAGAGAUCUGGAGGAAUACCGGUGGCGAAGGCGGCCCCCUGGACAAAGACUGACGCUCAGGUGCGAAAGCGUGGGGAGCAAACAGGAUUAGAUACCCUGGUAGUCCACGCUGUAAACGAUGUCGACUUGGAGGUUGUUCCCUUGAGGAGUGGCUUCCGGAGCUAACGCGUUAAGUCGACCGCCUGGGGAGUACGGCCGCAAGGUUAAAACUCAAAGGAAUUGACGG
rnacentral:rRNA from 1 species